rnacentral:rRNA from 1 species
UACGUAGGUGGCAAGCGUUAUCCGGAAUUAUUGGGCGUAAAGCGCGCGCAGGCGGUUUCUUAAGUCUGAUGUGAAAGCCCACGGCUCAACCGUGGAGGGUCAUUGGAAACUGGGGAACUUGAGUGCAGAAGAGAAAAGCGGAAUUCCACGUGUAGCGGUGAAAUGCGUAGAGAUGUGGAGGAACACCAGUGGCGAAGGCGGCAUCCUGGACCGGUAUUGACGCUGAUGCGCGAAAGCCAGGGGAGCAAACGGG